rnacentral:rRNA from 1 species
AAUCGUACCCCAAACCGACACAGGUGGUCAGGUAGAGAAUACCAAGGCGCUUGAGAGAACUCGGGUGAAGGAACUAGGCAAAAUGGUGCCGUAACUUCGGGAGAAGGCACGCUGAUGGUAAGUGAAGCGACUUGCUCGUGGAGCUGAAAUCAGUCGAAGAUACCAGCUGGCUGCAACUGUUUAUUAAAAACACAGCACUGUGCAAACACGAAAGUGGACGUAUACGGUGUGACGCCUGCCCGGUGCCGGAAGGUUAAUUGAUGGG